AAAUAAUCUGUCUUAAUUAAAGAUAUUGAAUUUAACUUUUAAGUGAAAAGGCUUAAAUGAUCUGAAGGGACGAUAAGACCCUAUAAAACUUUAUAUUUAAGAGUAGAAAUUAGUUUUAUUUAAAGGUUACUAUUUUAUAAUAUUUGGUUGGGGCGACGGGGAUAGAAGAAAAAGUAACUGUCUUUUUUUUUUACAAUAAUAUUUGGUUUAAUGAUCCUAAAAUGGAUUAAAGAUUAAGUUACUUUAGGGAUAACAGCGUAAUUUUCUUUAAGAGUUCUUAUCGACAGGAAAGUUUGCGACCUCGAUGUUGAAUUAAAGGUUCUUUAUAGAGUAGAAACUAUAACAGAAGGUCUGUUCGACCUUUAAAGUUUUACAUGAUUUGAGUU
rnacentral:rRNA from 1 species